rnacentral:rRNA from 1 species
AUGCGUCUUUUUGUGGAAUUGGGGCGGCGACGUCGCAGCAGGAUAUAUCUCGUGCAAGGCUCUGGUUCUUUGAGGGCUAGAAGAAGAUCUUGCUUUAUAGUGAGAGAUCUCACUUCUUCCACGAAUACAAGGGGAGGACAUCAUUUGGUCGUCUACUCAUUGCCAGGGAGAAAAUAUUUCUAUCCAGAGCUUGUAAAUAUGCUUGGUGAAUCAGCAAAUCCCAGGUGUAAUGUGUUUUUUUCUCGUCCAAACCUCCUUAAGCUAGAGCAGAUCGUCGGAAUGUCUUCUUCAUGGAGGCUGAUUUCUUCCGACAAGGAUAUGUUUGUCUUUUGUUGA